rnacentral:rRNA from 1 species
AUGAACGCUGGCGGCGUGCCUAAUACAUGCAAGUCGAGCGAACAGAUGAGGAGCUUGCUCCUCUGACGUUAGCGGCGGACGGGUGAGUAACACGUGGAUAACCUACCUAUAAGACUGGGAUAACUUCGGGAAACCGGAGCUAAUACCGGAUAAUAUAUUGAACCGCAUGGUUCAAUAGUGAAAGACGGUUUUGCUGUCACUUAUAGAUGGAUCCGCGCCGCAUUAGCUAGUUGGUAAGGUAACGGCUUACCAAGGCAACGAUGCGUAGCCGACCUGAGAGGGUGAUCGGCCACACUGGAACUGAGACACGGUCCAGACUCCUACGGGAGGCAGCAGUAGGGAAUCUUCCGCAAUGGGCGAAAGCCUGACGGAGCAACGCCGCGUGAGUGAUGAAGGUCUCCGGAUCGUAAAACUCUGUUAUUAGGGAAGAACAAAUGUGUAAGUAACUAUGCACGUCUUGACGGUACCUAAUCAGAAAGCCACGGCUAACUACGUG